UACGUGGGGGGCGAGCGUUGUCCGAAGUUACUGGGCGUAAAGCGCGUGUAGGCGGCUUUUUAAGUUUGGGGUGAAAGGUUCACGGCUCAACCGGAACAGUGCCUUGAAAACUGGGAAGCUUGAGUGUGGCAGGGGAAAGCAGAAUUCCAGGUGUAGCGGUGAAAUGCGUAGAUAUGUGGAGGAACACCGAUGGCGAAGGCAGCUUUCUGGGCUAACAUUGACGCUCAGACGCGAAAGCGUGGGGAGCAAACAGG
rnacentral:rRNA from 1 species